UCGGAUAGGUCGAAUGUGUGGAACAACAUCCUUAGAACCCAUGCGGAUAUAGUUUUUAUAUAAUUCAUCUCCUUGACCAAAAUGAUCAUAGGACACCUCAGAGUUUAACUGUCAACUCUGAUCAGGUUGUCCACAUUAUAUUUCAAAAUAUCAAAUCCAUCUGAUGGAUUACCCUGGCCAAAGUUUUGCUAAAUUGAAAUAUAGUGACUCAU
rnacentral:lncRNA from 1 species